rnacentral:rRNA from 1 species
UGGGGAAUUUUGGACAAUGGGGGCAACCCUGAUCCAGCAAUGCCGCGUGUGUGAAGAAGGCCUUCGGGUUGUAAAGCACUUUUGUCCGGAAAGAAAACGUCGUGGUUAAUACCCGUGGCGGCUGACGGUACCGGAAGAAUAAGCACCGGCUAACUACGUGCCAGCAGCCGCGGUAAUACGUAGGGUGCAAGCGUUAAUCGGAAUUACUGGGCGUAAAGCGUGCGCAGGCGGUCCGCUAAGACAGAUGUGAAAUCCCCGGGCUUAACCUGGGAACUGCAUUUGUGACUGGCGGGCUAGAGUAUGGCAGAGGGGGGUAGAAUUCCACGUGUAGCAGUGAAAUGCGUAGAGAUGUGGAGGAAUACCGAUGGCGAAGGCAGCCCCCUGGGCCAAUACUGACGCUCAUGCACGAAAAGCGUGGGGAGCAAACAGGAUUCAGAUACCCUGGUAGUCCACGCCCUAAACGAUGUCAACUAGUUGUCGGGUCUUCAUUGACUUGGUAACGUAGCUAACGCGUGAAGUUGACCGCCU